rnacentral:rRNA from 1 species
GACGAACGCUGGCGGCGUGCCUAAUACAUGCAAGUAGAACGCUGAAGGAGGAGCUUGCUUCUCUGGAUGAGUUGCGAACGGGUGAGUAACGCGUAGGUAACCUGCCUGGUAGCGGGGGAUAACUAUUGGAAACGAUAGCUAAUACCGCAUAAGAGUAGAUGUUGCAUGACAUUUGCUUAAAAGGUGCAAUUGCAUCACUACCAGAUGGACCUGCGUUGUAUUAGCUAGUUGGUGGGGUAACGGCUCACCAAGGCGACGAUACAUAGCCGACCUGAGAGGGUGAUCGGCCACACUGGGACUGAGACACGGCCCAGACUCCUACGGGAGGCAGCAGUAGGGAAUCUUCGGCAAUAGACGGAAGUCUGACCGAGCAACGCCGCGUGAGUGAAGAAGGUUUUCGGAUCGUAAAGCUCUGUUGUAAGAGAAGAACGAGUGUGAGAGUGGAAAGUUCACACUGUGACGGUAUCUUACCAGAAAGGGACGGCUAACUACGUG